AUUGAACGCUGGCGGAAUGCUUUACACAUGCAAGUCGAACGGUAGAGGGGGCAACCCCUCGAGAGUGGCGAACGGGUGAGUAAUAUAUCGGAACGAGCCCAGUCGUGGGGGAUAACGUAGCGAAAGUUACGCUAAUACCGCAUACGAUCUAAGGAUGAAAGCGGGGGAUCGCAAGACUUCGCGCGAUUGGAGCGGCCGAUAUCAGAUUAGGUAGUUGGUGGGGUAAAGGCUCACCAAGCCAACGAUCUGUAGCUGGUCUGAGAGGACGACCAGCCACACUGGAACUGAGACACGGUCCAGACUCCUACGGGAGGCAGCAGUGGGGAAUUUUGGACAAUGGACGCAAGUCUGAUCCAGCCAUUCCGCGUGCAGGAUGAAGGCCCUCGGGUUGUAAACUGCUUUUGUACGGAACGAAAAGGUCUCUCUUAAUACGGGGGACUCAUGACGGUACCGUAAGAAUAAGCACCGGCUAACUACGUGCCAGCAGCCGCCGUAA
rnacentral:rRNA from 1 species